GAUGAAGAACCCAUCAAAAUGCGAUAAGUAAUGUGAAUUGCAGAAUUCAGUGAAUCAUCGAAUCUUUGAACGCACAUUGCGCCCGCCAGUAUUCUGGCGGGCAUGCCUGUUCGAGCGUCAUUUCAACCCUCAAGCCCUCGGGUUUGGUGUUGGGGAUCGGCGAGCCUUUCUGGCAAGCCGGCCCCGAAAUCUAGUGGCGGUCUCGCUGCAGCCUCCAUUGCGUAGUAGUAAAACCCUCGCAACUGGAACGCGGCGCGGCCAAGCCGUUAAACCCCCAACUUCUGAAUGUUGACCUCGGAUCAGGUAGGAAUACCCGCUGAACUUAAGCAUAUCAAUAAGCGGAGGA
rnacentral:misc_RNA from 1 species